rnacentral:rRNA from 1 species
UACAGAGGGUGCAAACGUUGCUCGGAAUUAUUGGGCGUAAAGCGCACGUAGGCGGUUCGUUAAGUCAGAUGUGAAAGCCCCAAGCUCAACUUGGGAAGUGCAUUUGAAACUGGCGGGCUUGAAUAUGGAAGAGGUCGCGGAAUUCCCGGUGUAGAGGUGAAAUUCGUAGAUAUCGGGAGGAACACCAGUGGCGAAGGCGGCGACCUGGGCCAAUAUUGACGCUGAGGUGCGAAAGCGUGGGGAGCAAACAGGG